rnacentral:lncRNA from 1 species
CACGUCGUAUGGCAAUUCACACAGUGAACAAAAGAAAAUAAACUAACUUAUUCUCCAUGAAACUUAGAAACUUGGAUAAUUUGUAACUAUUAUUAAUAAACAUUUUUUUCCCUCUUUUGUAGGAAGAUGAAUAAAGAAUAACCAAAGAAUGUUUACGAUACAUUUUGAUAAUAAAUAUCUUAUUUAUACUUUCAUGUUAUUAUUGCCAUUAACUGGGUGGAUUAGGUAUAUAUAACAUCCAACGGUCUUUUGUGUAAACAACGGAUGUUUUAGUCAACAAUGUAUUAUACUAGUAUACCAUGAAUUUCAUUGUCUCAAUUUCUGCUUUCCUUUUCUGUUUAUAUCAGACCAGGAUUUUUUUU